UUACUAGAGUAGCACUCGCAUAUCAAUAAGCGGAGGAAAAGAAACUAACAAGGAUUCCCCUAGUAACGGCGAGUGAAGCGGGAAGAGCUCAAAUUUGAAAUCUUAAAGGGUUUCCCUUUACGAAUUGUAGUUUAAAGAAGUGUUUUCUGUUGAGGUUUUGGUAAAAGUUCUUUGGAAUAGGACAUCAUAGAGGGUGAGAAUCCCGUAUUUGACCUUUACUUUCAACUUUGUGAUACACUUUCAAAGAGUCGGAUUGUUUGGGAAUGCAGUCCAAAAUGGGUGGUAAAUUUCAUCUAAAGCUAAAUAUUGGCGAGAGACCGAUAGCGAACAAGUACCGUGAGGGAAAGAUGAAAAGAACUUUGAAAAGAGAGUUAAACAGUACGUGAAAUUGUCAAAAGGGAAGCGUUUGACACCAGUGUUGUUUUUCUGAAAAUCAAUUAAAGAACUGUUUAUGCUAAGCUGUUUAGACUUUAUCAGCUAUACUGUUUAGUUUUGAGCUUUUCUUUAAUGCACUUUUCAGUUAACAAGUCAACAUCAAUUUCUUUUGCUGUAAAAAAGCUUGAGGAAGGUGGCUUGAGAUUCGUCUUAAGUGUUUAUAGCCUCUUGCCUAUGCAGUCGGAGAGAUUGAGGUCUGCAGCGUAGAUCCUUCGGGGCUAAAUGCAUUUGUGCUAAGUUAUAGCAUUUUGUAGACAACUUGUUGACUAUGAUUUGUCUUGUAGCUUACUCGCUUAUGUUAUUUUACCUACGCUUAGGAUGUUGAGCGCAUGUCUCUCUCU
rnacentral:rRNA from 1 species